rnacentral:rRNA from 1 species
CCUACGGGUGGCAGCAGUGUGGAAUAUUGGUCAAUGGGCGAGAGUCUGAACCAGCCACGUCGCGUGAAGGCUGACUGCCCUAUGGGUUGUAAACUUCUUUUAUAUGGGAAUAAACUGUUCCACGUGUGGGAUUUUGUAUGUACCCUAUGGAUCCGGAUCGGCUAACUCCGUGCCAGCAGCCGCGGUAAUACGGAGGAUCAGAGCGUUAUCCGGAUUUAUUGGGUUUAAAGGGAGCGUAGGUGGAAUGUUAAGUCAGGUGUGAAAGUUGGCGGCUCAACCGUACAAUUGCAGUUGAAACUGGCAGUCUUGAGUGCAGUAGAGGUAAGCGGAAUUCGUGGUGUAGCGGUGAAAUGCUUAGAUAUCACGAAGAACUCCGAUUGCGAAGGCAGCUCACUGGACUGCAACUGACGCUGAGGCUCGAAAGUGUGGGUAUCAAACAGGAUUAGAUACCCGGGUAGUC